rnacentral:lncRNA from 12 species
CUUCAUAUAAGACAGAGGGUUUUCUUUUCUUGAAUCAACCACUUGGCCAUAUAAGGAAUGGUUGGUACUUUAUUGUCGUAACACAAGAGAAACAAAAAAAGUAUGUACUUAUUUGGUUUAGUAAACUCGAUCAAUGUAACAUAUCUAGCGAGGUAUUUAAGGUUUUCAAGUCCUGAGUUCUCUCUGGUAUAAGUUAACCUUUGACCACAUUGUCCAGCUUAGGUAAGUCUCUGUUGCCACAUCUAAGACACUUGCUGCUUUAUAGACUCAUCCCUGACUUCAGAAUUUCCACUCAACAGGCACCUGCGCACAGGGAAGGAAGCAAAGGUGCCACCCACUCGGAAACUGAAGAGCUGGGGCAGGCGGAGCAGGGCUGGUUUGCAGUGCUGACCUACAGGCCAAGGUGCCCUGGGAGCGUAGGCCACCGGGCCAGGGCUACAGCUGAAAAGGCUGCGCCGGCCAGGAAGAGCAGCAGCCUGGAAGCCGAGCUGCCCCACAGCCAGAGAAGAGAGAGGAAAGCAGAGAAGCUGCUCCAUGGGCCUGAGAGGACAUGGAGACAGCACGCUCCCAGGGAACAAAGGGAAUGCACACUUGCACCGGCUUGCACAUGGAGGAUCUGC